ACAAGAUUCAAAGCAUUGUUGAAUGCCGCAAUGAAAAGAGUGCGUGGACAAAUGGGAUCUACAUCCAGAGCCACAUUUCCAAAAUGGAUAGCAAGAAAGUGCUUUCAACAACCUCCUUCUUCCGUUGACUGCGGCUACUACGCGCUGAAGUUUAUGGACGAUAUUAUAAAUUCCGUGAAGGAAUUUGGAGUCGAAAAUAUAGAUGCCGUUUUAAACGACAUUCCGAGGGAAACACGUG